rnacentral:lncRNA from 1 species
GCGGGGGAGGCGCCGAGCUGGGACUGCGCGCUCGCCCGCCGCGCUCUGGGCGGCCCGACCGAGCGGCCGGACCUCGCGCCCCGCGCGCCCCAGCCGGCUUUUGUUGUCUCCGCCUUCUCAGCCCCGCCGCCUCGGGACCGCGAGCGGUGCGCGCCAGGACCUUGGCUCUGCCCUUCCCGGGCGGGGACUGCGUGGGGCUAGCCGGGAUCCGAGAGAGGCGCGCGCGGGCGGCCGGGGGCGCCGCCGGCCCCGCCAUGGAUCUGCGGGCCCGAGGCUGGUGGCUGCUGUGCGCGGCCGCCGCGCUCGUCGCUUGCGCCUGCGGGGACCCUGCCAGCAAGAGCCGGAGCUGCAGCGAAGUCCGCCAGAUCUACGGGGCCAAGGGCUUCAGCCUGAGCGAUGUGCCCCAGGCGGAGAUCUCGGGUGAGUGAGAGCGCGGCGCAGGGCCCAGCUGUGGGUCCCGGACCCCAGAGCACCAGAGGUCUCCUCUGCGCCCCCUGCCCUCCCUCUCGUGUGCACUGCGCGACCCAGGCGCUGGAGCCCGCCGCCUGCGCCCUGCCGCCUGGGCUCCGAGUGACCCCCAGCGCCCCCCCCCCUCGCCUUUACCCCCACGGUCCUCUCCCCAUACUUCGGCUUGGCCUGGUCGUCCCCCAACCCCCAACAGGCGUGUUGGUCCCUUCCUCGAGUUCUUCUCGCUGCCCCCCCCCCCCGCACGGAGCGCUCCUUCCGAGCAGCCUGCUCGGCCUAGUGUGCUGGCAGGGCGGCAGUCCCAGUCUGGGGCAGCGCGCCGGCCACCCUCGCCACGGGGCGAGCGGGAGCUGCGGAGCGGGCUGCCUGGGCGCUGCCGGGUCUCGGCGCGGUGGGGCUUUCGGGCGCAGAUGACCGGGAUCUAAAACUAGACUCCACUGUGGACCUCGCCGGGAGAGUCAGGGGUCCUGCCCAGGGAUUCCCGCGGAUCCCCAACAGCGACAGCCUAGGUGGGUUUUGUGGGCAGAUCCUCUCUUGAGUGGUGGUGGGAGAAGUGAUGAGCCGGCUGUGCGCUUCUGUGCGACCCGGGCCGUGGCUCGCAGGGAUUCCUGCGAGGAACUUGUGCCCGCUGGAGCCCAGCCCCCGCGAACGGGUCCUCGCGGCACUUGGGGCCGCCCGAAGCCGCGAGCCCAGCUGCAGGUGGUCGGCGCCUUGGAUCCCGCCCAGGGGCCUCGUCAUCUCUUUGUAAGAAGAGCGGCCCUCCUGGCGGCGGCCUCAUCCCUGCAGCUGCCUGCUGGACUGCCCUUCCCCUCCCUUCCCUGGCGGCUGGAGGAGCUUGGCGGACAGAAUUGUAUGUGAGCUUGGGACUGUGGGACCCUACUGUGCUCAGGAUCGCCCAGAUCCCAGGCUUCACAAGAACAUGAGGAGCCUCCCUAGGUCCACGAAGCAUUCUGGAGCCCGGUGACCAGGGUAGAGCAGGCCAGGGUCCUCUGGAGACCCUGGGGGUGAGGACGUGCCCUGGAGGGGCUGAACUCAAGUGGUGACCUGGGGAGUGUGGAACCACCACACUGUGGCAUCCUGAAUGAGAGAUAAGAGCAUCCUCCAUGGCGUGGAGGCAGAGGAGGCGGCCAGGCUCUGGACCUCUGCCUCACAGGAGGGGCACAGCCCACAGCCCUCCCCUCAGCCUGACUCUGUUGACAGGGCCCCUCUCGGUCCCCAGGACAGGCCUCCUGUGCUCCUCCUGGAGACAGUGCCUGUCAUCCUCAAGCCUGCCUCCUGUACCUCUCUGGUUCUGUUUGUCUGAGAGGUGGCACACCUGGGUGCCUGGCAGCACAGGGGCCUGGCACAGGCUGGCUAGUGCUCUGCCCACACAGGAACUUGUUCCCAUCCUGGCCUUUCUGUGGACCCCCCCCCCCCGGCACACACACCCCAGUGGCUGAGCAGCGGCUCCCUGACGCCAGCCUGGGGGCUUGGAGGGUGUUCUCCUGAGAAGCCAUCAAGCCACAGCCCUGGUGAACACAUCCAUGCCCCUCAGCUGGCACCUCCCCAGGGAUCUCCUGAACUUGCUGCUGUUCAAAGUUAGACACAGAGUGGCAGAGUGGGCAGCUGCCAAGGGCAGAGAGGGCAGGCUGGAGAGGUGGGGUGGACUGACCUGGAUGUUGCUGCCCAGGUAUGGGGAGCACUGGGUUAGGGAUGCAGAGCAAUUGCCUGAUGUCUGUGAUGGGUGCUGUCCCUCAGCCUGGACAUGUGGCUGCCUGCGCUGUCUCCAGGGUCACACUGGCCAUGGGCUGGAACCCGCUCUGGGCUCAAGUGCAUCCUCCUGCGGCAUGUAAGAUGGGGUGGGCUUUGGGCUUUUUGUCUCUGAGGGCCUGCCGCUCUCCCCAGAAGCUCCAUGACUGUACCCUGCUACGGUCCCCAAAAGAUGAGAGCACUCCACGAGGCACAGGACCGUGGAGAGACUGUAUGUGCCAUGUGAGUCCAGGGGAACAGGGUGACCUCCCAGGGGAGUGGCAGUCCUAGGGACAGCCAAGCCCACAUCCCCUCCUGCUCUGUGCCACCAGGCUCAGCCUCCUAGGACCGGGCGCCCUCUGGUGGCUCCUGGUGGCAGGGUCCUCCCGGGUGCCCUGGAUCCUGGGGGCCAGCGCCUUACUGGGGAAGAGGUCUCUCCUCAGAGGAUGUGGGCCUGAAGCCGGAGGCCUGCUGGUGUUCCCACUGGGCUCAGGUGGCCCAGCCUUUGGAGGGGCACCCAACACCUCCCCAAGGUUAGGAGGAGGAGAGCAGCCCAUGGCCAUCAGUGGCCUCCCAGCGGAGAAGGGGACACUGUCUGAGGAACUGGGCUCUGUGGGAGGUAUGGUGUACUUUGCUGGACAGCCUGGCCAGGCAGUGGUGACCACAGCUGCCUCUGAGGAAGCAGGCUUGGGGUGGCAGCCGAGCCAAGGCCACUGCAGCAGGCAGCCCUCUGGGCCCGGGUGCUGCACAGAGGGUGGAGCUGGCAAGCCCUGCUGAAUCACGGCCGCGGCCAGCAGGGUCUCUACCUGUGCUGGCAGGUUGUCUCGGGCCACAGGUGUUCCCUGAGCACCUGCCCAGCCUCCCGUCUCUGUGGCUUGUCCUGUGUCUGCUCAUUCACUGGGGUCCCUGGGGGCAGGGACUGCCACUGUCUGGUUCUCUGUUGUCACCACUGAGCGGUACCUGGCUGCUGGCCCUAAUUGGGUUCUCAGAAGACCCCUGUGGGCGCGCUUCUCGCCCACCAUGCUGGGGUGGGUAGGGUGGGUGGAGGGUGACUUGGAGUGCAUGCAGCCUUGUUGGCAGAGGAGGGUGGGCCCAGAGGUCCAGUAUUGGGAUUGGAGGUCAGAGGGGGCUUGCAGCUGUCCUGUGACUCCCCUGCUCUGGGGUGGCAGCCUGCCUGCCAGCCUGAGGGGCUCCCACAGCCCUGGGCCUGCACAGGAACCUCACCCCACCCUGGCCCUCAGCAGGAACGGACUGUGCAGCCAGAGCCAGGAUGGCGAGCACAGAUUUUUGAGGGGAGGAUCCCACGUUCCAGAAGAGGUGGUUCUGGCUAGUCCCAGAAGCCGCCCACAUGUGCUCCUUAGUUGAGCUUAGGGUGCCACUCAGAAGCUACCUGGCCCAUUGCCCCUCCCCAGAUUAGAAGGUUCUCUGUGCCCUGUCCUUUCCAGGCACAGAAGCCACCAUGUGGCUCAGCAGGGGUCUCCAAGGUAGUCCUCAGUUUCCGCUCUGCAACAAGAAGCUGUUCAUCAGGCCCAGCAUGAGGACCAGGCUUUGGGGCACCAGGGAACUGCCAUUCAACAGGGCCAUCUGCACAGGACAGGCUGCCUGUCCCUCCAAGUGGGGCCCUCUGCUCAGCCUCCCGGGUCUCUUCUCAUCACUCACGAGAAUGUGAACAGCCACAAUUGUCCCAAGGUUGCCAGCAGGCAGCCUCAGGCCCUGUCCCCACUCACCCCAGAGGCCUGAGGAGGCCGGUGCAAGCCCUCUCGGGUAGCAGUGUCCGGAAGCUGACAGCACUCACCAUGCCUGUCUUCCGGUCACUGUCUGGUCAGCAUGUUGUAGAGAGGGCCUGUACAGACCCAUUUCACACAUGAGGGAAUCAAGGCCCCGAGAAGCCACGUAACUUUCUUGGGGCUCAGGCUGAUUGACCCCAAGGCCUUUGGCACUAACCGCUGCCCAGUAAAGCAGCUCAGCCUGCCCUGUCCCUGGCUCCGUGUUUUCUAGAAGCCGUUGAGCCUGGAGGCCUGAAGUGGGCUUUGGCAACCUGGGCCCUGGAGACACCUGGCUGCCUCCCCACUCAGCCCGCCUUGGGUGCCACCACUUGGGAUUUGGAACUUGUUUUGACAGACACCCGCCAUCCUGCCUGGCUCCUGCCAGCCCUCAGGUAGAGGCCAGCUCUUCAGCUGUUUUGGACCAGCCACUCCAGCCCCAGCCAGGAGGGCCACUUCUGAGCACCAGGGUGUGCCCAGAGGAUGACCCAGCUGUACUGCUGGCCAGCCCAAGGAGACUCCCCCAACAGGUCCCAAUCAGGGAGAUACCAGCUGCCCCAAAUAGGCAAGGUCCCCAGGAAGGGUGGACAGACGUCCUGUUCAUAAGCGGCAAAGCCAGGGAAACUAGAUGGGUUGGUCUGUUGGUGGACUGUGGCCCCACAGUGGCUCUAAUGCUGGUGCUAACUAGGGACAGUGCAGGUCUGUGGUCACAGGCCUGCCUGGAGGGACCCAGGGCACAGAGCCAGGAGGAGGGGUCAGUGAGUGUGUGAACACACCUGUUGGGACCAUGGUGCCCACAGCUGCGGCAGGCACUGGUGAGGACACUGCAGAAGACAGGCUGGCUCAGGGCCCCAGGGCGUCAGGUCUGCCGUGCCCUGGGCUGUGUGCGCUAGGCAACGAGAGGCUGCCACUGUUCCCCCCAAAGCCUGGCUCCGAGUGACUUCAGGUCAGGACUCAGGACCCUUUCAGGCCCAGGGAGGGGGCCAGAGGGAUUCCUGUACCCAGUCCUAGCCUGGCCCAGUGUCUCCUGGUACGGACCCCAAGCUGCCCGUCCUGGGCACAGCCCUGUUCCAUGAGGGGCCCAGGCUGGGACCCCUGCCCCGAGCCCAGCGCCUCCCCUGGUGCCCACGGCAGCCAGACAGGCCUGGGCAGGUGCCGGAGCUGCUUGCAGUCUGUGUGGGGUGCUGAGGCAUGGUGCAUGGGGAUGCCCCGUCCUGAGUGGAGCACAGGGCCGCCGGGCUGAGGGGAGGGCUGCCCUGAUCCCCAGAGAGCAAGCCCGGGCCUCCCACCUGCUGGCCGUCCUCAGCGCCCGUGCUGGAGAGCCGCGGGCGAGGGCACAGCGACAGCAGGGCUUCCUGGGUGGGCUUAGGGGCCCUGGGGCCAGGCCAGCCUCAGUGUCUGCUGUGGGUCAGUGUCCCUCCCAGUGGCUCCUGGCUGCUCACCAUCCGGGUACACAUAGCGUCCCUCUAAGUAGUCCUCUGGUGCCCUCUGAGGGCCCACGCCCAGCUCCUCGUCCCUCGGGACCUCAUCCUCAGCAGUGUCCCUGGCCAGACACACUUGGGCUCCUGUUGACACUCCCCACUCUGGGCAGGCCUCAGUGCCCUUCAGGGUGGGGAUGUUCUGAGCGCCCCUGGUGUGCCAGGCAGGGGCUGCCAUAACCGAGCUGGCACAGCCAGGAAACUGCAGCCUCAUGGUCUCCCAGCUUUGCAGGCUGCAGGUCUGAGCCCCCGGGGUCGGUGGGUGGUUCCCCUCUGGCCAGCUCCUGGUUGGCUGGCACCUUGGCUUGUCAACCUACCUUCCUCCUCACAGGCUCCUCCCCACAUGCAUCUGUCUCCAGGUGUCCCCUCCUAUGAGGCCAUCAGUCCCCUUGGGUCAGGGUCCAGGAUGAUCUCAUCCUAACCAGUUACAUCUACAAGGACCCCGUCCCUAACGUGGCCCUAUUCUGGGUCCUGAGGUGCCAUUCAGCUCCCCGUGAGGGGGGUGCUGAGCCCGCCUCCAUCUCGCUAGAGACUCUGGACUCUGGGUGUUCAUGACUGUGGCCACCUGAGGACAGGGCCCAGCCUCUGCUGGUCUCUGGCACCCAGGCCCUGGUGACAGGCUCCUUGUCCCGCACACCCACAGCAGUCUGGGGCACAGCCUGGUCCCUGCCGACCGGGAGGCCUAACCCCAGCCCCCUUCCUCGGUGGGCCUGGGCUUCCCCCUGUCAGGGCCAGGUUGCUCUCUUUCUCAAGUCCUGGCCUGGUGGUGCUCCCCCAGUGACCCGAGCUGGGCCUGCUGACCGGCAUGGCCCAGAGCCAGCAGGGGCGGGCAGUGAGGAGCGGUCUGAAAACCCGUGGCGUGAGCCCUGGGACGCAGUGGUGUCAGCCUCGCACAGGCCCCGGGGUCCCCACCCGGGAGUGGGACAGCCUUCAAGCCAGCCCCCUGCUCAGCCCUCAGCUGGACUUUCCGGGGAGUCUGUGUGGUGCGCAGCAGAAAGAAGCCCAGGGCGUGUGGGUGGCGUCCUCUCCUGAGGUGGACUGGCCAGGAGGCCUGCUGCUCACUCGGGGCAAUGCUCCCUGGGUUCUGAAGGCUUGGCGGGGUGACAGGGCAGUCCCCAGGGCCUCCAUAUUCCUGCUCCUUGGCCGCCUGGCCUGCCCUCAGCCCCCAUAGGCUCCCAGAGGAGCAGUGGCUCUGGGUUCAUGGGGGAAGGAGAGCCAGCACAGAGAGGCCACCCGCUGCGAGCUGCCCACAGACCAGGCCUGGGUAGAAGCAGACAGAAAGCCAGGCCCCUGCAGGAGGCCGGUGCAGAGUGGGGAAGGCCAAAGCAGAGAGCGGCGGCCCCCAGGGUCAGCCCAUGGGCUCUGCCUUGCCAGCCCUGCAGCUGGGCAGAGAGCCCAGCCAGCCAGGGAGGUCAUGGGCGACACACAGGCAGGAUGGCCGGCCAGCGGGUCAGAACACAGAAGGCCAGGCUAGCCGACCCCCAGCCAGCCACACCUAGGUGGACCUCCUGAGGUCUGAGCUGGCCCUUCCAGUGGUUACCAGAUAGCUGAGCCCUGCUGUCCUGCCUCAUCAUGGGGGACAUGGGCGAGCUGGACAUACUGGGAGGCACGGGCCUCCAGCCUUGUGCCCCUGCAGCCCCGAACAUCUAGCUAGAGAUGUGGUAGGGUGGCCUGGGCACCUUCUGUACCCCCAGUCUUGCCCACAGCCCUGGGGACUGCCCUGGGACGCAGGGUGUGGGCACAGGUCUCCCUCCUGGGGACACCAAGGCCUUGGGCUUGGCUCCACCCUCCUGGUGGACAAUAUUGGACCAUGUCCCCGAGACACAAGGACAGCUGUCUGUGGGUGCCCGUCUGCCCGUCCUGUGUCUGGUGCAUCCUGGGUGUCUGAACUGUCCCUGCGGUGAGCCAUGUGUGACGUGCCAGUUUGUCCUCAGGUGUCUGGGCCAUGAGUGCCCCUGACGCUGUUGGGCCCCCAGGAUACCUGUGGCUGUCCGCCAAGCCCUGGGGAGCAGAUGAUGCCACUUGCUGCCAGGGUUGGCUCAGGUGCUCACACAUCUGUGCUGGACCAGGGCUUUAUAGGGCAGAGGAGCCCAGCACCACUCAGCUGGCAGAGCUGGGCGCAGCGAGCCCUUGGCCUACGUCAGGCACCCUCCCUUGCAGAGAGGCACCCCCAGUUGGUGCUGACCGCUCUAGUGGUGGGGGCUCUGGGCGUAGGGCACCUGGUCAGGCACCCUGCACGGGUCCCCCUGGGGCCACUCCCCACCAGGAAGUGCUGCCCAAGGGCCCCAGGCAUCUCGGUGGUAGGCACAGCCUGCUCUAGGCCUCUGUCGCAUGGUGGGCUCAGGAGAGGGACUCAGGGAGGCUUGAUGAGGGUCAGGUGGAUAAGCAGGUGGUCACUCACCUGGGCACAGCUCAGGGUCAGGGACAGAAUUCAGAGAUGACACAGGUGGCUGAGAAGGACUGACCCCUAACUGAGGGGCACCUUGGUGUUCCUGGGCCUGGGACUCAACCAACAGUACGAAAGGCGAUGUCACUGUGGCCGACCACCACAGCAUUGAAACUAGUUCCCCUGCAGCCCUCACCAGAGGGCACGGGCCCAAGGUGCAGAGGUCAAGCCGUGCUGGGCCGCGAGCGGGGCGGCCAGCCUGCGUAGCCCAGUGUGGGGCUGAGCAAGGGGUGUGCUCCCCUUGUGGAGGGGCACAGGCCUCGGAAGCACCCAAGGUUCCCUCCUGAGCACCUGCUGUAUGCAGAUGCCCCAAGGGUGUCUAAUGCCUCAAGGGUACCUGAGCGCCCACUGUGUGCCGAGCGCUGUUCUUGGUGCUGAGGUGAAGCCACCGAGAAGGCGCUCCCUGGCGCCCUGCAGUCAGCACCAGGACCGCGGAGCAGCGGAGGGUUUUGUGAGUGUCCUUGCUUAGACAGUGACCAGUGUUGCUCACGUCCUUUCAAAGCAAAAGGAAGGGAGUGAACCUCAGUGUCUGUGCUAGGCUCCCAGUCACACACCCACCUCGUGACACAAACCCUCCAGCUGGGCAGGAAGGAGCCUGCCUGAGGACAGGCCGGACCCCAGACGCAGCCCAGCCACUGUCCUGCCCAGCCACCUCUCCAGUACAGAGGAAGGGCCCAGCCCCAGGGCUGCCUGUGUGGGUCUCUGCCCGCGGGCUGCUCGUGCACCUGCCUCCCCGGGAGCCUGGCACACAUGCUCUCAGAGUGGUGGGCCGCAGGGUGUACUUGGCACGUUCUGGGAGAACACAAGAGGAGCCGUGGGGAAGGGACGAGGAGGACGGGACUCUCCUGGGCCGAGGAGCAGGAGAGGCUGGGGCGGGCCGGUGGGAGGCUGGAGCAGGAGGCUGUGCAGCCCCCUGUGGCCUGCUCCAAGGCCACACUGCAGAGAGGAGGAAGGAGGUCCACCCUCAGAGGGGGCCUGAAGCCCUCAGCACACGUCCACCCCUGGGGCUGUCCUGGAAGGGGUGGGCUUCGCUGGGCACAGAGCAACAGAGGUGGGGCCAGUGAGAGGGCCAGACUUGGUCCUGGGCAGGCAGGGGCUGAGGGCGUGGUGGCCAGGAGCAGGGAAGGACAACUGUGACCACAAGUGCACUCUGUGUCGGUGUGGGUGCCCGGGGGAUCCCCACAUCUGUUCCUGCUCUGAGCAGCCAUGAGUCCAGUGGGAGCUGCUCCUCCCCCAGAGCCUCUGUCUGGCGAGGCAGGAUGGACAGUGAGUGUGCUGUCAGGAAGGAGGACCUGGUGGCUGCCCAGAGGAGGUGGCCCGGCUGGAGAAGGCCAGGCUCGUGGCUGUGGGCCAGUGGUUUGUGCUUGUCCAUGUCAGCACACUGACUCUGGGAUCCGAGGAUAAAGGCCUACCAGGAUAAAGCCACAUCCUUGGCUAAGGGCUUCUCUCUUAAGGAUAGUGGCUGUCCUUGGUGGCCAUCAUCCUAGCAAGGAGAGGAUCCUCAAAGGAAUCCAAAGCCCAAUCUCCUGGUCCAGCUUGCCUGCCUGGACUCCAGUGCCAGCUCUGAACUCAUUUGCUGAGUGACCUUGGGCAGAUUACUGAACCUCUCUGCGCCUGUUGUGUGUCAUAUGGCUGGCACCCUCCUGAGACAACACAAGAGGAGCCGUGGGGGGGGGGGGCGGUAGGAGGAGGCCUGUUCUUUUUCCAAGUCCUGUCUCGUCCGUGUAGGGCGGUGGGGCCAGUGUGCAUCUGUCCAGGCUGAGGAGCUAGGAGUCUGGGAGAUCCUGGCCACUGUCACCACACUGCUGACUCCAGGAAGUCACCUGGGUCACCCUAACACGCAUUGUCGACACUGCUGUUUGUUUCGCACAGGGACUGACUGCCAGGGCCCUUCGGAGUGGUACUCACACAUGUCCCUGGGCACAGUGGAUUGGGGACAUGUGUAGCAGACCCUCUGGGGCCAGCAUGGAGGGUGGGGCUGGUCAGGAAGGGAGCGCAGGGUAGGAAGGGACAGGAGACAGUGCCGUGCGGCCUGGCCUGGGUGGCAUGCCCGGCCACCUCUGUGUGCUGCCUCUGACCCCAUGUGGGGACGGGCUGUUCCCUCCUCUCAGCUGUCCUCUGGGGCUGGAUGGGCCUCGCUGAGCCAUAGGCCCUCCUGCCCAGCUGCACCACAGAUCCAAUGUCCGGGUGCUGGCGUGCCUCCGGCCUCCGUGGGGACAUCCAGGUGCAAGCCCUGAGCCGAGGCGUGGGGAGGGAGCAGCCCCACCCUCCCACCUGCUCCCAGGACCCCCAGAGGCCAGGUCCCACCCCUGGGGGAGUGGGACAGGCAGCCCUUGUGCUCCUGGGGAGGGCCCUUCCUGGUGGGGGCUCCUGCAACCUUGAGGAGCCACUGGUAGGCACCCCAUAUGUCCUUGAGGUCCCACCUGAGGGUGCUUCAGGUGAGCUGUUCUGGCCAGCAGUGACAGUGCGGGCCCUUGAGGGCAGCUACCUGGCCCCCAGUGAGGUCCACUGGACCCUGGUUUUACAAGGCAGGCCUCAUCUCCACACGGCAGUGCUGGGCCCCAGCCCUGGCCAAGCCUGGCACUCACUCCUGGGGAUCAGCAUCAGCCCAGAGACGGCGACCACGCAGCCGCCACAGGACACUGUGCCUGGGCCUGUCUGUGCCUGGGUCCUACCUGCCUGUGGGCAGGCUGAGGUGAGGGAGCCAGGGCUCCCCGGUCCACACCGCCUCCAGCAGCCUCCGCAGGGUGUGAGGACCAGGCCCAGAGCCACAGAGGUGUGUCUGUACAGCAUGGGGCUCGUGACUCCAGGAAGGGCCUGCCCGCACCCCACAAGGACAGGUAGACACAGGACAGUCCAUUAAGUGGAGAUGGGUGUGACUCAUUCUGCAGCAUGACACGUCCCAGACAUUUUAAUUCCAAAUCAGGGACAGUUUUCAGUGUGAGCAUGCCCACGAAUGUAACUCAGUGGGUCCCAAGUGUUUUGAGGUGACUGAGGAUUGUCUGCUUUCCCCAAGGUAAGCUGUCCACCCCGGGAGGCUGGCCACCUGGCCUGUUUUUUUAGCGCAGUGCAAUGGCAUGAAGCACAUUCACGAGCUGUGCGGUGUCACCACCAUCCAGAUGACUCGUAAAACUGAUGCUGCCCCUGUUAAACACAGGGGCUUGUUCCCCUGGCCAGGUCCUUACAGCCACCAUCUGCCUUGCGCUCUGGGGGCCUUGUGUGAGUGGAGACAUCCAGUGCUUGUCCACCAUCAUACUGUCCUUGAGGUCCAUCCAUGAUACAGCGAGCGUCGGGAUUCCCUCCUUUCAGGGCUGAAUAGUAUUCCAUUCUGUGGAUCUACAGUGUGUUCAUCUAUUCAAGGGCUGGGUGACGCCUCUUUCCACCUCUUGGCCCUUCCUUUCCNGUGUAGGGCGGUGGGGCCAGUGUGCAUCUGUCCAGGCUGAGGAGCUAGGAGUCUGGGAGAUCCUGGCCACUGUCACCACACUGCUGACUCCAGGAAGUCACCUGGGUCACCCUAACACGCAUUGUCGACACUGCUGUUUGUUUCGCACAGGGACUGACUGCCAGGGCCCUUCGGAGUGGUACUCACACAUGUCCCUGGGCACAGUGGAUUGGGGACAUGUGUAGCAGACCCUCUGGGGCCAGCAUGGAGGGUGGGGCUGGUCAGGAAGGGAGCGCAGGGUAGGAAGGGACAGGAGACAGUGCCGUGCGGCCUGGCCUGGGUGGCAUGCCCGGCCACCUCUGUGUGCUGCCUCUGACCCCAUGUGGGGACGGGCUGUUCCCUCCUCUCAGCUGUCCUCUGGGGCUGGAUGGGCCUCGCUGAGCCAUAGGCCCUCCUGCCCAGCUGCACCACAGAUCCAAUGUCCGGGUGCUGGCGUGCCUCCGGCCUCCGUGGGGACAUCCAGGUGCAAGCCCUGAGCCGAGGCGUGGGGAGGGAGCAGCCCCACCCUCCCACCUGCUCCCAGGACCCCCAGAGGCCAGGUCCCACCCCUGGGGGAGUGGGACAGGCAGCCCUUGUGCUCCUGGGGAGGGCCCUUCCUGGUGGGGGCUCCUGCAACCUUGAGGAGCCACUGGUGGGCACCCCAUAUGUCCUUGAGGUCCCACCUGAGGGUGCUUCAGGUGAGCUGUUCUGGCCAGCAGUGACAGUGCGGGCCCUUGAGGGCAGCUACCUGGCCCCCAGUGAGGUCCACUGGACCCUGGUUUUACAAGGCAGGCCUCAUCUCCACACGGCAGUGCUGGGCCCCAGCCCUGGCCAAGCCUGGCACUCACUCCUGGGGAUCAGCAUCAGCCCAGAGACGGCGACCACGCAGCCGCCACAGGACACUGUGCCUGGGCCUGUCUGUGCCUGGGUCCUACCUGCCUGUGGGCAGGCUGAGGUGAGGGAGCCAGGGCUCCCCGGUCCACACCGCCUCCAGCAGCCUCCGCAGGGUGUGAGGACCAGGCCCAGAGCCACAGAGGUGUGUCUGUACAGCAUGGGGCUCGUGACUCCAGGAAGGGCCUGCCCGCACCCCACAAGGACAGGUAGACACAGGACAGUCCAUUAAGUGGAGAUGGGUGUGACUCAUUCUGCAGCAUGACACGUCCCAGACAUUUUAAUUCCAAAUCAGGGACAGUUUUCAGUGUGAGCAUGCCCACGAAUGUAACUCAGUGGGUCCCAAGUGUUUUGAGGUGACUGAGGAUUGUCUGCUUUCCCCAAGGUAAGCUGUCCACCCCGGGAGGCUGGCCACCUGGCCUGUUUUUUUAGCGCAGUGCAAUGGCAUGAAGCACAUUCACGAGCUGUGCGGUGUCACCACCAUCCAGAUGACUCGUAAAACUGAUGCUGCCCCUGUUAAACACAGGGGCUUGUUCCCCUGGCCAGGUCCUUACAGCCACCAUCUGCCUUGCGCUCUGGGGGCCUUGUGUGAGUGGAGACAUCCAGUGCUUGUCCACCAUCAUACUGUCCUUGAGGUCCAUCCAUGAUACAGCGAGCGUCGGGAUUCCCUCCUUUCAGGGCUGAAUAGUAUUCCAUUCUGUGGAUCUACAGUGUGUUCAUCUAUUCAAGGGCUGGGUGACGCCUCUUUCCACCUCUUGGCCCUUCCUUUCCAGUGCUGUACCCUGGUGCUCAGGUGUCUGUUCAGGUCCCUGCUAUCAAUUUUGACACUAAAACUUUAUUCAUUGUUCAUCUCAAAUUCAGAGGUCUCACUGGUGCCAGUGCUGUUAUCAGCCACCCUUCCCUAGUUGUGCCUGCAGGGUGGGGCCGGGCUGCGCUCAGGAGCCCACACACCUGCCUGCCUGGGCGGCCACCGCCCCGGGCCCGGAGACCGCCCAGGCCUCUGCAGCCUCGGCAUGUCUGCUCCUGCUUCCCCUCGCCUGCCUGCUGAGGAAUUCCCCGGGAUGGAACCCCGGGAGGGAGAGGGGCUGUGUGUCUGGGCCACUCCUACAGUGGCCUUGGGCACACCUUGACACACACCUCAUGGUUGAAGAGGAUGUACAGAGUGCCUCUUGGUGGGGCCCUGGGGACCUCCCCUCGCAGUUCCCAGCUCCCCACACCACAGGCUGCGAGGGACCUUCGAGGGGGCACCUGCUUGAGGGGAAGGGGGGUCUGAGUGUGUGGAGGGGCCUGGUCCCCCAGUGCCCACACGGGGUGUACACAAGUGCUCAGCACCAGGUCCCGCCAGGGCUGGACAGAAGCCAGAGGAAGGAAGUGAGCUUCCCCUGGCAGAAGGAGGGACCCAGGAAGGACUGGUGAGCCAGCCCAGGGGGAAGGAAGGGGAGGGGGUGAACAGGUCAAGGCUGUGGGGGAGGGGUGGCUGGACAGCCGGGGAGUGGCCCAGCCCCUGCUCCAGCCUUUCACCUGCACCUGCUCUGGGCUCUGACGCAGCCCCGUCUGUGCACAUGGCUGUGGCCUUUCAGCACCCACAGGGCAGGCGUCAGGCCCACACUGUGUCCCCUAAUGCAGCUCCAGAGUGUCCAGUGUGGACACAGCAGAGGGAGCAGGAUCCGUCCGUGUGUGGGCCUCCUCAGCUGCUCUGUGUCCCAGCAGGGGUGGGGGAGGCAAGCUGUACCCCGAGAGCUCUGCAGUGUGGCCACUCUUGCUCCCCCACACCUGAACCCCUACCCUGCCCCUGCUUGGCUACUGGGACAGGCCCCAAGGGAGCGCCCCCAGGCUGCUUGGCCCGGGAGGAGAGACCAGGGCUGAACUUGGCCUGUGAGUGGGCUGCCCAGGACACUUGGGGCUUGCCUCAUCCCCAAUGUGUUCUGAGGCCAAAGCAUGAGCCAUGGACACUGAGACAACUGGCAGCUGAGGUGGCCUGCUGGGGGGACCUGGUGCUUCCGGGCAGGAUGGCCUGACCAGGGGUAUCCCGUGCAGGUAGCAGGAGCUAAGAGGACAGCCUUUCAUGUUGAUCUUAGGGGGUCUUAGGUGUGUGUCCGGCCUUGGCAGGGGACCUGUGUCUCCAGGUCAGACUGCCAGUAGGCUGAGAAGGCACCGGGACGGUAGAGGCGUGUGAAGGGGUGUUCUCCCCAGCCGGUGGAGACAGGGAGCAGCUGCCGGAUGGUGUCCCGCAGCCGCGUGGGGAGAGGACAGCUACAGCAUAAACCUCACAGGUGGGAGGGUCACCUGGCGGAUGUGGGGUCUGGUAUUUUUGAGGAAAAGCAGAUGCGGAUAUUGGGAGCAGGUGAUUAUGGAGGGAGGUCCAGGUGUCCUGGGACUGGGGCCGGUGGAGGCUGUAGGGUACCUAGGUGGCUUUUUGAGUGCCCAGACAGCACUAGGGAUCUGCUUGAACAGCAGAAGAACUCCCUCCUGUGGUCAGCUGCCACUCACCAUGCAGCAUAGAUACCUGAUCCCACCCCUCCCCUCCCUGGAGGCGCCUGGCUCCAGGGAGCACCUGGCGGGGGCGGGGCAGCGCCUCGGAGCUGGGCGGGAGGACUCGGGGCGGCCAGGCGCGGCCAGCGGUUUCCAGGGAGACGGGCGGCGCCGACGCAGCGGGCGGGCUGCGGGAAGAGGCGCGCCCCCGCGCCGGGAGCCGCCCUCCGCCGUGCGCGCCAGUGCUGCUGCGGCGCUGCCCCUGGCUGCGGUGGCCACCGAGUCUCCAGUGUCCGCGCCCGCCGGCCCGUGUCCCCCAGGUCCUUCCAGCGAGUCCGUCCGGCUGCUCCGCGUUUCCCCGGCCGGGCCCCUUUAGGCCCCACGCGGCCUCACCCGGAGCCCCGCGCCGCCUGGACACCACCGCAGCUUCUGGGGACGAGCGAGCUGGAGCCGCCGCUGCCGGAAGGGGGUUCCGAGCCUCGGCCCGGAGGCGCCCGCCGCCAUCCCCAUCCCAGCCGCCACUCAUCUCCACCCCUCCUCCUGGCCGUCCUCACCCGCUGUCCCUGUCACUACCGCCCCAGUCCCAUCUUCAGCCCCAUCCAUCCUCAUCCCUCUCCAUCAGGAGCGCGGUCGCUGGCCUCCGGGUCCCCUCCAUCAGCCUCCGCAGCCUCGCUGCACCCGGCCACCCACCCCCUCUGCUGCUGGCAGUCGGCUCCCACUUCACCCUGUCCCCAUGUCCCUCGCGGUCGUACCCCGCGGCGCCCCGCCGCUCUCCCCGCCCCCACCCUUCCUCUGCACCCCCUCCUGCCGCGAGCCCCCCUUCCUCGUCCACCCAGCCCAUCCCCCUCCGCAUGUCGCAGCCCCGGGAGCCCCCUCCCGGUGCCUGCCGCACCCACUGCGGCAAGCCCCUUCCCCGCCAAUCGCGGCGCCCUCCCGCCCCUGCUCUGCCGCAGCCCCCGCACCGCCGCCCCUCCCCGCUGCACUUCCAGACCCUGUACCUGCUCCGGCUCCACGGCCCUCGGUCCGAGGGCGAUGGCGGCGGCGGUGACAGCCCCUGGUGUCUCGGAGCCUUUGUUGCUGGCGGGGCGGCGUGGUGGUGGUGGGUGGUGGCUGGGGUGGGGGUUGCGUGGGGCGCCUCCGGGCUGGGGGUGGGCACUCCCUUCGGGCGGCGGGGUGUCCGGUUUGGUCUUCCCUCGGUGCUGGGGUGGUUUCCCGGCGGCGGGGGUCUUUGGUUGUGGUGUCGUUGGGUGUAAUGGGGGCGGGGGCUUUGGAUCGUGAGAUUGUCCGGGAGGGAAGCAAAGCACGUUUGGGGGUGCAGACAGGGAUUGAGGGGUGCUGUUGAAGCCAUUUGUGAGGAGUGGAGGUACCAAUUUGUCUGUCUCCCGAUGGGUGCUAUGGUGCCUUCCUGGUCAGACAGCCCGUGCUCAGGUAGGACCCCCACAGGAACAGGCCAGAGGUGCAGGCUUCUUGGGGAACAGGGGCGAACACAGUAAAGAGGUUCCCCCAGGAAACCUUGGCCAUUUGUCUCGUGCUCCCACUCCUGGCAGGGUCAGGCUGUUGCACGUGGGAAAAUCCUUUGGAUGGAGUCCAGGGGCAAAGUGGGCACCCGCAGGCUUUGGGAAGAGGACUUUUGCUGGGGAGAGCCUCCUGCCCUGGUCAGUCAGGCAGAAGGCCACUGUGGGGAUCCAGAGCUUGCGGGAGGGGGGUCUGCUCCUCUCCCUUGGCAUGUUUUGGUGUCCAUGGUGCCUAGAGCUGUCCACCCUGAUCUGUGAGUGCAAAGCGCCUGGGGGUCUCAGCUUCCUGUCUCCACCACCCAUGUGGAAGCUUCUGGAGGAAAGGGCUUGGCCAGGCGCCAUCUCUCUGCAGUCUCCUUGGGAGGGCUCCAGGGUGCCCGUAACAGGCAGCUGCCCACGUAGACCAGGAUAAAUGAGGCCAUGUCCGACAUCAGAUGGCGACCCUGUCGGAUGGCAGUCUUGGCUACAGCGUGUGCUGACCACGAGGACCAUGGGUGGGCUGCUCAUGCCCAGAGACACAGGGUUGGAGCAGCCGGGGCAGCAGGGUCUGGCCUAGGAGAUGUCUAAGCCGCGGCUGGUAAGGGUCUUGCCGAGAAGCAGCCUGGGGUGAGCCCAUGUGGUCUGAAUGUGGAGGGAAGAGAACCAGAGGGCAGCUGGGGUGGCUUGGAAUCAGGAACCAGACUUUGAGUCUGAAGAGACGGGUGGAAACAAGCCUGCCAGGAAUAACACCCCACCCCCCAAAAAAACCAAAAACCUGGGAGUAUCGGAAAAGGGAAGUAUCCCAAAGACGAGGAAGAGAAAGUUCUAGAAGGAUGGGGUAGAACAGAUUCAGCCAAGGGAUCAAGAAAGAAAAAAGAUCAAGGGACAGGUUUCGGCCCAGCAGGAGGCAGCGUGAGAGCUGGACCCGUACAGAGGGAGGGGUCUUUGGGGGGUGGCUCCUGGGUCUGGGAAGGAGGGCUUCUGCGGACUCACUCUUCAGCCUGGGCCAGGAGGUGGAGAACACGCAGGCACAUGCUUCAGGGCUGAGUUGAGAGAAGGGGUGGAGACUUGCUCAGACAAGUCAGACACAGGUCACUGUCAUCCAGACAGCUGCCCCCACUGCCACAGCUUGUGUUCCUGAAGGUUCAGGGCUGCCUCGGGGACACACAUCCAGAUUCGCCCACGGGUCAGGGUCUGGCUGGGCCAGGGCUCAGCACACAGGACGGAAGCCUUCUGCGCAGCGGGCCUCAGGGGUGGCCUGGCCCAGCCUGCCCGGGGCCCUCAGGCCGGCGCCCAGGCUCUGGCUCCGUGUCUUCACUCCCGUGUUGUCCGAGGAGGGAGGGAGGGACGGGGGCUGUGCUAGGGCGGCCGGAACAUCGCAGGUCACCGGGCCGGCUGGGCGAGGUGGCCGGGCAGGGCCAGGGCUGCAGAAGAGGCUACAGGGAGGGCCCUGCUCCUGAUGGCCGGCCAGCCAUGCCGAGGAGACCCUCCCAGAACCUGUGCAGGAUGGGGGAGCACCAGUGCUCUUGGGCUCCAGUGGCCUGGCCUCACCUCUGCAUCCACCUCCUCCUGGCUGCAGGUUGGGUGGGAUGGGGUCCACUAGGACCCCAGCAUUCGGGAGGGAGAGCACAGUAGUGUGGUUUCCUCCUGGCAGCCCCAGUCCUUGGGCCUCUGACCUGUCUUGGCCCAGCCUGAAGGUGCUGGCCUGCCUACCUGCAGCACAUGCCUAGCAGCUGGCCCGGGUGCCCUGGUACAGCUGAGCCCAGGGUGUAGACUUAAGGCCCAUGCUGACACCUGCAGCCUCCUGCCCGAGGCACGCUCCCUGGCUUGAUGUCCACCCAGCACCACCAGGGGCCCAGCCCUCAGGGUGGAUCCCCCCAGGUGCUCUCCCCACCCCUCCUGUGGAGGGGGGACAUCCUUGCCUAGCUGAGGCAGCGGGACUCAAGACCGGCCCCCCAAGUAAACAUGACCCGUCCUCACACAGUCCCGUAGCGGUGUCCCUUGUCUGCCGAGCCCAGAUGGCCAUGGCCAUGGAUGUGGGGGAGCUGCGGUUUCUGCAGACUGAGUCGAGAAGGCACCGGGCCCCACUGAGUCAGGGUCAGUAAGACUGCAAGAGUGGAGGGCGGCACUUGGUGCUGACGGAGAUUCUGUGCCUCAUCCUUCCCACUGGAGGGGACCGGGGUGCCCUGUCCACCAGGCUCUGACAGGGUGGACCUGGGACCCCAACAGGCCCCCACCUGAAAGGCCUGGCAGCAGCUCAGACCCCUGCCCCCCAGCAGGCCUCUGGCUUAGCAGGGUGUGGCCAGAGUGGGCACCUAGCUCCUGGCCCUGUCUGCCCAUCGGUCCUGUCCCUCCCCAGGUGGGAGCUUGAUGGCAUGCCCUUUCCUGGACAUGGCCCCUUCAAGGAGCAGGCACCCCAGGUGGGGUGAAGGAGGGUGACAGGUGGGGGCCUGGGAGCAGCACUGCUCACGUGGUCAGCACGUGCUUCUUCCCGUCCGGCCUCCUCUGAAACACCCACCUACAAUAGCCCCCUUUCUUCUGAGACCUGCUUGAACCGGGGGUGUCCCUGAACAAGGACACCACUUCUCCUGUUCUCCUGCCAGCCUUGCUCCCCAUCUCUGAGCUCUCGGCUGUGAGGUGGAGGCUCCCUGGGGGCACUGGGGCAAGAGCCUCAGAACGGGACAAGUCGGGGCUCCAGGCUGAGGCUCCAGCUGUGCUGAAGGAGGGGCCGUCCGUCCAUACCCCAGGAGGGCUCUCCUGGCCCCUCUGCCCCCACCAGGCAGCCUGGCACCUGCAGCUCGUGACCAUGUUGGGUCCAGGGCAGAGGCCACAGCAGGAGCCCAGACGGUCUGGUUCCCUCCACUUUCAGCUUCCCCUGGGUGCCCGUCCUCCUGGGUGCCCGUCCUGAGCCCUGUGCAGUGUGGCGCCUGAAGCCAGGGCUCUGCAGGGUGAAUUCAGCCUGACUGCAGACGCCUGACUCUCCAGCCCCAGCUGGCUUGGGGGGGAGGCAGCUGCCCCAGGCCCUGCAGGUGGCCUGAGCCCCUCUUGUGGCUGGCUAGAGGCUAGUGGACCUCUCUGUCCACAUCCGAGGCUCAGGUCCCGGUCGGCAGACCUCUGGGCCCACCUCCCAGCAGAACUGCACCUUCCCAUGCCCCCUCUGGGUCACCUUGAUGCCCUCUGCCUACUAAGGGACGGGCAGCUGUGAGCUUCCCACCCUCGAACUUGGGUCCCCAGACCCCUCCCCACUCCCUCCUGGACGCAGAGGUUGGGCCUGUUCCUCCCAUGUCUUCCCAUGACCCCACUCCGCAAGGGUCACAGCCACACUAGGCUGGCCCCAGCACCCUCCAGUCACUCCUCCGCUGCCUGGUGGGUGCGCACCAUCCCACUGGCCCUCCCUCCACCCCGACCCAGGAGGGCACCAGGGGAGCCCCACCAGGUGGUAGUGUGGCCUGGUGGACAGGCCCAGGGGCCCCUGGAACAGAGUGGCCCAGCGGGUGUGGGCCUGAGCCCAGUCAGUCUGAGCAGCUCGGUCUCCUCACGAGGCCAGGAACCUUGGUCCUGGUCUGUACAGCAAGGUCCUUUAAAACUGGAUCCUGGGCCACGCACUUGUCCCUGGUAUUAAACAGCCACAUGUGCACCGUGGGCUCUGUGGGGCCAAAGCCUGCCCUCGUCCCCCGGGCGGUUGGCGGUCAUGCUGUGUGGCACCGUCCUGAUGGUGCUGCUGGAAGCUGACGCCCAGCAGAGCAGGGUACCGGGUACCCAGAGGGCCCCGUCAGGGCCGCCGUCCGUCCCCUCCACAGCCCGCACCCAGGUGCUGUGGGGUGUCUGCCUCACUGGGCACUCCACAAGUUCUGGUCUGCCAUCCUGUCCAGGAGAGCCCUGGGCAGCCUCGGCCCCUUCUCGCCCUCACGCCACCCUUCCCCACAGGGGAGCACUUGCGGAUCUGCCCCCAGGGCUACACCUGCUGCACCAGCGAGAUGGAGGAGAACCUGGCCAACCGCAGCCGCACAGAGCUGGAGACGGCACUUCGCGACAGCAGCCGGGCCCUGCAGGCCACACUGGCCACCCAGCUGCACGGCAUUGACGGUGAGUCUAGGGUUGGCGGCACGCUCCUUCCUGCAGGGUCUGAGCCAGGGGAUCUGGCAGGAGGAGGGAGGCAGAAUGAGCGCCUCGGAGCUGGGACUUGGGUAUCGCUAUCAGGAGAGGGCUGCCCUCGGGUGGGGCCUGAGUGGGGGACAGACAGGGCUCAACUGCAGCCUGAUCUCUGUGCUGGAUCAUGACACUCAGAGCUAAGGCUUCUGGGGUCUGAGCAGUUACAGACCUUAAGUUCUACUUCUAGAGAGAACGGGGACUCUCCAGGCCCCAUCCUGGGCACAUGGGGUACAAGGGCAUUUCCCCAAACUGUGGGGUCUGCAGUACACGCUUGUACCUGUCCCCCCACCCUGCCAGGAUGUGUCCAUCGGAGGCACAUGGGGCCUCUGGGGCCCAACCAGCCUCUGCAGCCUGGCAUCUGGCUCUGAUGACCACACGCACAGUGUCUCCCCGCUGGGCCCUCUUGUCCCCAUGGGCUGCCAGGGUGUUGGGUGGAUGGACAGAGAGCAGGACCUCUGAAGGCCGCCCCGCGCUGUGUGUGCAGGUCACUUCCAGAGCCUGCUGAACGAGUCGGAGCGCGCACUGCAGGAGGCCUUCCCGGACGCCUUCGGGGGGCUGUACACGCAGAAUGCCCGGGCCUUCCGGGACCUGUACGCCGAGCUGCGCCUCUACUACCGCGGAGCCAACCUGCACCUGGAGGAGACGCUGGCCGAGUUCUGGGCCCGCCUGCUGGAGCGCCUCUUCAGGCAGCUGCACCCCCAGCUGCUGCUGCCCGACGACUACCUGGACUGCCUGGGCAAGCAGGCCGAGGCACUGCGGCCCUUCGGGGAGUCCCCGCGGGAGCUGCGCCUGCGGGCCACGCGGGCCUUCGUGGCGGCACGCUCCUUCGUGCAGGGUCUGGGCGUGGCCAGCGACGUGGUCCGGAAGGUGGCCCAGGUACACACGUUGCUAAAUGUCCCUGUGCCCUGCCCCAGACUCGGCCCCUGGCAGCUCUGCCCUGUCAGCUGUGUCCCCAGGCGUGAGCUCCACUCUGGGCCAGAUGGCCAGCCCACUUGCUGCCCAGUCCUGUCUUGGGCCAGGCUGCGCCCUGGGCAGAAGGGGAAGGGCCGGAGGCCUAGGGCUGAGGCUGGGCCUGGCUGGGGGCUCGGGAUCCACUGGGGGUCCGACACACUCGUGCGGCUGACACGGGUGGGGCUCUGAGGCCUAGGCAGGCCGCCCUGGAAGGGCAGAGGGUGCCUGCUACACCCCUGCAGCCCUGGAUGUGAGCUGCCCCACCUCCAGCCAGGGUCCUUAGCGUGUCACCCCACCGCUGAGCCUCGAGUUGCUCUGUGUGGUAGGGCUUUCUGCGUCCCACCAAGGGUCGGUGACGAUGGUGUGCUGGGAGUGGUGACCAUCCUGACGCCUUCCGGGACCUGUACGCCCUGCAUGCCCAAGCUGGCUAGGCACGGUCCCCCGUGUGUCAGGCAGAGCUGGGGUCACCUCUGACUCCAUGCAGAGCCCGCCGGGGCUUGGUCAUGGCUGCAGCUCACCUCGUCGGCCGGGUGUGCUCAGGUAGCCUUUGCUCCCCAGGUGCCCCUGGGCCCCGAGUGCUCUCGAGCUGUCAUGAAGCUGGUCUACUGUGCCCACUGCCUGGGGGUCCCUGGUGCCCGGCCCUGCCCCGACUAUUGCCGAAACGUGCUUAAGGGCUGCCUGGCCAACCAGGCAGACCUGGACGCCGAAUGGAGGAACCUUCUAGGUGAGCCCCUGCCUGGCCUUGGGAGCUCUCCACUGUGGACCUGGGAGGCAGGUGGUCCCUGCUCAGUAGGGAGACCCAGGGCCAGAUCUGGGUGGGAGUGUGGGGUUGAGUGUUCCGACUGGUAUGUGACCUGGGGGAACACUGUGGGAUCCUAGUUCCUUGUCCUGCCCCACUGAGCAGCCUCCAGCACAUGCAUGAGCUACGUACAGGCUCUGACACGUGGGAGCUGGCACACACACAGUCCGGCAGGUACGUGUGCUGUCACGUGUGUCUAUACACCCACGUGCUGCCGUCGGUGGGUGACCCAGCAUGCCCAUGUCCAUCUGCUGGCAUGUGAGUCAGCACACACACCAACACACGUCAGCCUGCAAGAGCAAGGCGGGCGUCAAGUGGGUGGGAAAGGUGCCCACACCGUGGGCAUCACAUGCAGUGCCCGCGCGUACGUGCCGACGCCUGUGACGUCACGGUGUGAGACAGAAACUUACCAAACGUGUAAGCUCUCAGUGCACACGGCCUGCACAGGUGGGCGCGUGUGGAUGAGGUGGGCCCAAGGACCACAGAUGUCCUCUGUUGGCAUGAGCUUGUGCCCUGGGUGGGCUGUGGGUGUGUGCCUGCCGAGUGCUGGGCCCCCACGGGGAGCAAGCCCCUGGAGCCCUGCUGUGGACCUGCACUGACCCCUGCCUGGCGUGUCUGUGCGGGUCAACGUCUGUCCAGACUCCAUGGUGCUCGUCACCGACAAGUUCUGGGGCCCGUCGGGAGCAGAGAGCGUCAUCGGCAGUGUGCACAUGUGGCUAGCAGAGGCCAUCAACGCCCUCCAGGACAACAAGGACACACUGACGGCCAAGGUUCGGGCAGGGGCAACCAAGAGCAUGGGGGGGGGGGCGGGCGUUGCUGCUGUGGCCCACCUGGGCCCGAGAGUCCCUGCUGGCCUCCAGGACCUCUGUGGUGUCUAUAGGUCAUCCAGGGCUGCGGGAACCCCAGGGUCAACCCCCAGGGCCCUGGGCCUGAGGAGAAGCGGCGCCGGGGCAAGCUGACCUUGCAGGAGCAGCCCCCGACAGGCACGCUGCAGAAGCUGGUGAGCGGCCCCGCCCCUGCCCUGAGUGUGGGGAGGGCAGGGUGGCUGCAGGCUGCCCAGUGACCUGACUGCUGCCUGGCAGGUCUCCGAGGCCAAGGCCCAGCUCCGAGACAUACAGGACUUCUGGAUCAGCCUCCCAGGGACGCUGUGCGGUGAGAAGAUGGCCAUGAGCUCUGCCAGUGAUGACCGUUGCUGGAACGGGAUGGCCAAGGGCCGGUAGGUGCUGCCUCGCUGGCCGUGUCCUGCACGUGGCUUGCAGCAGUACACAGGAAGUGGGGCGGGGGGGGGGGCAUGCCUUUACCCAGACACUUGAGGGUAGAGACCCCACACUAGGGCUGUGUGGCUGCCACUGGCCCCUGGAGGGCCGCUGGGUGCCUCCAGCUGGGGGUCUUGGGCCUGGGGGUGGGCAGUGGGAGCGUGUUCUGCUGGCACGGGCCCCUUUGCAAGAUGCAGUGACGGGGGCUUUGCCUGAUCUGCCUCAGGUACCUACCCGAAGUGAUGGGUGACGGCCUGGCCAACCAGAUCAACAACCCCGAGGUGGAGGUGGACAUCACCAAGCCAGACAUGACCAUCCGGCAGCAGAUCAUGCAGCUGAAGAUCAUGACCAACCGGCUGCGUGGGGCCUACAGUGGCAGUGACGUGGACUUCCAGGACGCCAGUGAGGGUCCCGGCCCUGACGGUGGGGCUGGGCGCUGAUAACCAGGGGUCCCAAGGGCUGUGAGGGUCUGCUGCUGGGCGGGGACACCACGCCUGUGUCCCUGCAGCGGCUGAGGCCCGGCAAACCCAGGAGGGCCAGUAGCACUGGACCACAGCAGUCACACUGGACCUGGGCCACACAGAGAGCCAUCGGGUCCCUGGACACGGGGUCUCUGGGUAGGGGCAGCUGCUGGAGUCCCCUCUCCUCCCCAGGUGAUGACGGCAGUGGCUCAGGCAGCGGCGGUGGCUGCCCUGACGUCAUCUGCGGCCGGAGGGUCAGCAAGAAAAGCUCCAGCUCCCGCACGCCCUUGACCCACGCCCUCCCCGGCCUGUCCGAGCGAGAGGGGCAGAAGACCUCGGCCGCUGGCCGCCCCCAGCCCCGUGCCCUGCUCCUGCUCCUGCUCCUGCUCCUGGUUCUCGCGGCAGCCAGGCCCCGGUGGCGGUAACUGCCACGGCCCAGGGACGAGGCCAAGGACAGACUUUGCCAAAACGCAAAACAGGAUAUUUAAUUCCCCUUGGCCUGCAGAGGCCCAGGGUAGGACGAGGGGACAGUGGCUCUGUGUGCUGGGCAGGGUGCGUGGGGCCCCAGCACCCAGGCCUGGCCUCACCUGCCACCCUGGCUUUUAAUUUUGUAUGAGGUCCUCAGGUCAGCUGGGAGCCAGUGUCCCCAAAAGCCAUGUAUUUCAGGGACCUCAGGGACAUCUCUGGCUGCCCGUACCCCCCCACCCCUCCCAAGGCCCAUGGAGGAGGUGACCCUUAGCAACGUCCCGCUGGAGACCUCGAGCGAGCCUGUGCCUUCCUCGCUGCCUUCUGCCGGGGACUCUCUGCUGGACCUCCCUGGCUUCACAUCAGCAAGGCCCACCCCUCCGCACCCCCAGGGUGUCGGGGGCCCCUGACCAUGCUCUGGCAGGGCCUCUGAGCUUAUGCAUGAUGCCUCCCACCCAGUGGGGCUCUGAAGCCAGGGCCCACUCUCCCUGUGUCGCCUCAGAGUCCCAGUGGACGCAGUCCACCCUUGGGGCCGUGCCAGCACAGCCAUACCCCGGCUCUGCUAUGUUGACCUUUUGCUUGUGGGUGGGGUGCUGUCCCCACCACCCAGGGAAGCAGAGGGCCUGCCCCUCACUUGUGCUCACAUACACAGGCCUUCUGGGGCCAGGUCUGCAAGAGGAACCCCACUUCUGGGGAGUAGCCAGCCAUUCCUACCCCACCCCACCCAGACAGGAUGGCCCUGGGGCUGCGGGCCAGGGCAUAGCCUGACAGUCGAGGGCUUCUCCAGCACAUGCACAUUCAAACACUUCUUUCCCUGCCCCGAGACCUGCACCUCAGUCCUCCUGAAGCAUUGGAGGUCCUGGAGCCCAGCUUGGACCCUGGGGCCCUUCAGUGGCCCUGGACUGAGUGUGCCCAGCUCACUGAGGGCAUCGGGCCCUCGGGCAUGGGCAAGUCCUCCCCGUCUCCAGGCCCAGAAGCCAGCAAGCCCUGGAGCAGGGACUGGCGUCCUAUAAGAGGGGCCCCUGCACGGCGAAGGACGACAGGGGGCAGACACCGAGUUGCCACAGCCAGGGACAGUCGUUCCGACCCACACGGGCCUUGAGAAGGUCACUCAGUGCUUCUUUGAUCUCUGCUGCUGGGCCGGGGGGUCUUCCCACCUGCACAGUGGGGGAGGCUGUGGGUGCUGGUCCAGCCCCUUGGCACAGGGUGGGAGACUCAAGCUGGUCCUUGGACGUGUUGGGUCAGGCCCUUGGGACCCCUGCCCUGUAAGAGCCCCGUAAGUGCCAUGCAGGCUGAGGUGGCUGGAGCCGACCCAAGCCCCGGGACAGAGGACCCAGUCCUGGGAGGCAGCAGUGACACUGCCCGUGAUGGCCAGGGGUGACACCCCGCACUACCCCACAUGCUUCUCUGGAAGGGGCAACCCUGAGCAGCCACUGGUCAGGGCAGUGGCCCAGCCUGCUGUGUCCUUCCUCAUGAGGCCCCUGGUCACUCAGUGCCAGCAGGUCGCCAGGUCACAUGUGUCGAGUCCUUGUAUGAAUAAAAGGCUGGAGACCCACACAGGACAAAGCCUCAUGUGUGGCUCUGAGCCUGCCUCGUGCCACCCAGCAGAGCGCGUGUGA